rnacentral:rRNA from 1 species
CUGGCUCAGGACGAACGCUGGCGGCGUGCUUAACACAUGCAAGUCGAACGAGAAGAGAUGAGAAGCUUGCUUCUUAUUGAUUCGAGUGGCAAACGGGUGAGUAACGCGUAAGCAACCUGCCCUUCAGAUGGGGACAACAGCUGGAAACGGCUGCUAAU